ACAGUUUUGGUCCUGGGCUUACCGUUCUUUUUUUUCAAGAUUAUACAUGCAAGCCUCAGCAAACCAGUGAAAAUGCCCACAACCCCUAAAAAGAUGUCCUGGAGCAGGCAUCAGGCACUACAACUAGGCCCAUGACGCCUUGCCACGCCACACCCCCACGGGUCAAUCAGCAGUAAUAAACAUUGGGCUAUGAGCGAAAGCUUGACCCAACUAUGACAACUUAGGGCUGGUUAAUUUUGUGCCAGCCACCGCGGUUAUACGAAAAGCCCAAAAUAACGGCUAACGGCGUAAAAUGUGACUAGAGAUUUAUACAUUAGACUAACGCUAAAAUUCACUGCCUAGUUGUAAAACACUCAGACAAUGAAGAAAAUCAGUACAAAGCGUUUUUAAUAGUAUAUCCUUGACGACACGAAAGCUUAGAAACAAACUAGGAUUAGAUACCAUACUAUGCUAAGCCGUAAACAUUGAUAGCUAUCAU
rnacentral:rRNA from 1 species